rnacentral:rRNA from 1 species
GAUGAACGCUGGCGGCGUGCCUAAUACAUGCAAGUCGAGCGAACAGAUGAGGAGCUUGCUCCUCUGACGUUAGCGGCGGACGGGUGAGUAACACGUGGAUAACCUACCUAUAAGACUGGGAUAACUUCGGGAAACCGGAGCUAAUACCGGAUAAUAUAUUGAACCGCAUGGUUCAAUAGUGAAAGACGGUUUUGCUGUCACUUAUAGAUGGAUCCGCGCUGCAUUAGCUAGUUGGUAAGGUAACGGCUUACCAAGGCAACGAUGCGUAGCCGACCUGAGAGGGGAAUCGGCCCCACUGGACUGAGGCCCGGGCCCAACCUCCUACGGGAGCAAGCGGUAGGGAAUCUUCCGCAAUGGGCGAAACCCUGACGGGCCACCGCCGCGUGAGUGAGAAGGUUCUUCGGUUCGUAAACCCCUUUAAUUAGGAAGAAACAAAUGUGUAAGUAACUAUGCACGUCUGGCGGGUCCCUAAUCAGAAAGCCCGGGCAACUUACGG